rnacentral:rRNA from 1 species
AUACGGAGGGGGCUAGCGUUGUUCGGAAUUACUGGGCGUAAAGCGCGCGUAGGCGGGUUGGCAAGUUGAAGGUGAAAUCCCAGGGCUCAACCCUGGAACUGCCUCCAAAACUGCCAGUCUUGAGUUCGGAAGAGGUGAGUGGAAUUCCUAGUGUAGAGGUGAAAUUCGUAGAUAUUAGGAAGAACACCAGUGGCGAAGGCGACUCACUGGUCCGAUACUGACGCUGAGGUGCGAAAGCGUGGGGAGCAAACAGAAUUAGAAACCCGAGUAGUCC